ACUGAGCGGCGGACGGGUGAGUAACGCGUGGGUAACCUGCCUCAUACAGGGGGAUAACAGUUGGAAACGGCUGCUAAUACCGCAUAAGCGCACAGUACCGCAUGGUACGGUGUGAAAAACUCCGGUGGUAUGAGAUGGACCCGCGUCUGAUUAGGUAGUUGGUGGGGUAACGGCCUACCAAGCCGACGAUCAGUAGCCGACCUGAGAGGGUGACCGGCCACAUUGGGACUGGGACACGGCCCAA
rnacentral:rRNA from 1 species